rnacentral:rRNA from 1 species
UACGAAGGGUGCAAGCGUUACUCGGAAUUACUGGGCGUAAAGCGUGCGUAGGUGGUGAGUUAAGUCUGUCGUGAAAGCCCCGGGCUCAACCUGGGAAUGGCGAUGGAUACUGGCUCGCUAGAGUGCGGUAGAGGAGAGUGGAAUUCCCGGUGUAGCAGUGAAAUGCGUAGAGAUCGGGAGGAACAUCAGUUGCGAAGGCGGCUCGUCUGGACCAGCACUGACACUGAGGCACGAAAGCGUGGGGAGCAAACAGG